rnacentral:rRNA from 1 species
GUGCCAGCAGCCGCGGUAAUACAGAGGCCUCAAGCGUUGUUCGGAUUCAUUGGGCGUAAAGGGUGCGUAGGUGGUUUGGUAAGUUGAAGGUGAAAUCUCGGGGCUUAACUCCGAAACUGCCUUCAAUACUGCUGGACUCGAGGACUGUAGAGGAGAAUGGAAUUCACGGUGUAGCAGUGAAAUGCGUAGAUAUCGUGAGGAAGACCAGUGGCGAAGGCGAUUCUCUGGGCAGUUCCUGACACUGAGGCACGAAGGCCAGGGGAGCAAACGGGAUUAGAUACCCCAGUAGUCC